AUGCACCGGAUCAGUGGAGGCCGGAUCAGUGGAGACCAGCGGCGGAUCAGUGCCAGGGCGGUGGCGAAGGGAUGGAGCGGCGGCGGUGAAGGGAUGAAGAGCGGCAGCGGGCGAAUGAGGGCACAGACUCAGGCGUCUGUUUCUCGCUCGAGGGCACGAGACCUCGCUUAUGGGUGCGAAGGGAGGUUAGGCGCGUGGGGGCGGAUGUGGGACUCGGCCUUGAGGGUUUUUCUUGAUUCAUCGCGGCUGAGCGGGAGGUGGGAGCAGGUACCAAAAAAGACCGGGUGA
rnacentral:rRNA from 1 species